GAGGAAUAUUGGUCAAUGGACGGAAGUCUGAACCAGCCAAGUAGCGUGCAGGAUGACGGCCCUAUGGGUUGUAAACUGCUUUUGUAUGGGGAUAAAGUUAGGGACGUGUCCCUAUUUGCAGGUACCAUACGAAUAAGGACCGGCUAAUUCCGUGCCAGCAGCCGCGGUAAUACGGAAGGCCCAGGUGUUAUCCGGAUUUAUUGGGUUUAAAGGGAGCGUAGGCUGGAGAUUAAGUGUGUUGUGAAAUGUAGACGCUCAACGUCUGAAUUGCAGCGCAUACUGGUUUCCUUGAGUACGCACAACGUUGGCGGAAUUCGUCGUGUAGCGGUGAAAUGCUUAGAUAUGACGAAGAACUCCGAUUGCGAAGGCAGCUGACGGGAGCGCAACUGACGCUUAAGCUCGAAGGUGCGGGUAUCGAACAGGAUUAGAUACCCUGGUAGUCCGCACAGUAAACGAUGGAUGCCCGCUGUUGGUACCUGGUAUCAGCGGCUAAGCGAAAGCAUUAAGUAUACCACCUGGGGAGUACGCCGGCAACGGUG
rnacentral:rRNA from 1 species